rnacentral:rRNA from 1 species
AACCUCCGCAAUGUGAGAAAUCGCGACGGGGGGAUCCCAAGUGCCAUUCUUAACGGGAUGGCUUUUCAUUAGUGUAAAGAGCUUUUGGAAUAAGAGCUGGGCAAGACCGGUGCCAGCCGCCGCGGUAACACCGGCAGCUCUAGUGGUAACAAUUUUUAUUGGGCCUAAAGCGUCCGUAGCCGGUUUAAUAAGUCUCUGGUGAAAUCCUGUAGCUUAACUGUGGGAAUUGCUGGAGAUACUAUUAGACUUGAGACCGGGAGAGGUUAGAGGUACUCCCAGGGUAGAGGUGAAAUUCUGUAAUCCUGGGAGGACCGCCUGUUGCGAAGGCGUCUAACUGGAACGGUUCUGACGGUGAGGGACGAAAGUUAGGGGUGCGAACCGGAUUAGAUACCCGGGUAGUCCUAACUGUAAACGAUGCGGACUUGGUGUUGGGGUGGCUUUGAGCUGCUCCAGUGCCGAAGGGAAGCUGUUAAGUCCGCCGCCUGGGAAGUACGGUCGCAAGACUGAAACUUAAAGGAAUU